UAAACUCCUGUUGUUGAGGAAGAUAAUGACGGUACUCAACAAGGAAGUGACGGCUAACUACGUGCCAGCAGCCGCGGUAAAACGUAGGUCACAAGCGUUGUCCGGAAUUACUGGGUGUAAAGGGAGCGCAGGCGGGAAGGCAAGUUGGAAGUGAAAUCCAUGGGCUCAACCCAUGAACUGCUUUCAAAACUGUUUUUCUUGAGUAGUGCAGAGGUAGGCGGAAUUCCCGGUGUAGCGGUGGAAUGCGUAGAUAUCGGGAGGAACACCAGUGGCGAAGGCGGCCUACUGGGCACCAACUGACGCUGAGGCUCGAAAGUGUGGGUAGCAAACAGGAUUAGAUACCCUGGUAGUCCACACUGUAAACGAUGAUUACUAGGUGUUGGAGGAUUGACCCCUUCAGUGCCGCAGUUAACACAAUAAGUAAUCCACCUGGGGAGUACGACCGCAAGGUUGAAACUCAAAGGAAUUGACGGGGGCCCGCACAAGCAGUGGAGUAUGUGGUUUAAUUCGACGCAACGCGAAGAACCUUACCAAGUCUUGACAUCCUGCGACGCACAUAGAAAUAUGUGUUUCCUUCGGGACGCAGAGACAGGUGGUGCAUGGUUGUCGUCAGCUCGUGUCGUGAGAUGUUGGGUUAAGUCCCGCAACGAGCGCAACCCUUAUGGUCAGUUACUACGCAAGAGGACUCUGGCCAGACUGCCGUUGACAAA
rnacentral:rRNA from 1 species